CAUUACAUCGCGUGACAUUUCCCCAAAGGGGACAGACACAGCAGCUAAGAAGGACACAUGCCGGUCAACCAAUGUGUCCGGAGCAGUAGCGAACUACCAAGGCUCGUUGGAUCACAAAGGCUUGUAAGGAGUGCUACUAAAGUUCACGACUAAGUAAUCGAACCCCAUACAUAUCAAGUACGACACACGUACGCAUGGCAUACCGAUAUGUAUAGAUACAUCGAUGGCAUCACAACAUAACCACAAACAUACAACCUUUAUUUAAGAGGCUCGGAAGAG
rnacentral:lncRNA from 1 species